AUGUAUCUAGCUGGCCAUCAAGGGCCUGCUCUGCUCCUCUUCUUCCUUGACCAUCGGUACCACCAUGUUCCCGGGCUUCCAAGGCGCGCUAGCACACCACCGACAUGCCUCCUCUGCUCUCCGGGCUCGGACCAAUCGCUCGACCCUUCGGAUGAGUCCGUCGAUGAAGCGGCAGCGUCUCCUCUAGAGGGUGACGGUGGUGGCGGCGCCUGUGUGCGGCUUCGACUACAACCUCCUCUCCGGCUGGCUAAUAAGCUUUAG
rnacentral:rRNA from 1 species